GGUUUUCACUUUCACAUAAAUUUUCCGAUUUACUUUUGAAAACAGAUAAAUUACUGCUCCCGUUUUCUCAAAGCGCAAGCUGACGCAGCCCGAUUCGGAUAUCGAUUCGACAUUUUGGCGCAUAACAGCGUGUGUUCGUACCAGCUCGGAUUGGACUCGUAACAUACGCGUAAAAGAAAAUCUGGAUAAAUACAGCUAUUUACCGACACAAUUAAUUUAAAACAAGUAACCAUGUCAUCUGUUUUUGCGUGCCAGGUUCGUUGAGAAAACGGAACAUAUCGAUACAAAAUAUUUGUGAAAUCGGGAGCACGUAAAAACGAAACGUUUUGGCUGAAAACGCAAAACGCAAAAGUAAGUAAAACGGGAGACUGCCAACUAUUAAAAAUGUAUAUUUAUGUGGUGUAUGCAAAUCAAUUUUGAAAUUGCAAGCUUCUUAAGAAUCUUGCGAUUUGCAAACACUUUUGGAGCACAUAACUGGAGCAUGGCUAAUAACACUAUGCAGUACCAUAUUUACGCUUCGAACCAAACCAAAUUUUUCUAAAAGGUUUGGGGCAUGUAAAAUUAUGGUCAAGUUUUUACAAAGUUUUUA
rnacentral:sRNA from 15 species